rnacentral:lncRNA from 12 species
GAAAGAACACUGAAAGAAUAAUCUUUGUCAUGAUGUCCUUCCAUGUAGAUGUCAGGAAAGCCAAGAUUUAUGGGUGCUUGAGUCCAUCCUUCUGUUCCUUGCUCACAGCACACGCAGUCACUACAAGGAUUCCAAGAUUUUUCUCUCUAUUCUGGAUGUUUCUUCAAUAUCAUAAAAAUAUUCAUGGGAUAAGGAAAUCACUCGCCUUUGAGCACUAUCAACCAUCAAAACUUGGCCUUGUGAUUUGAAAUUUCAAAGCAUCCAUGCUGUUUGAUGCACACCGAGCUCCAGACACAGGGAAAUCAAUCUGUACAGCUCUGCCUACCUUGGUAGCAG